rnacentral:lncRNA from 1 species
GGCGCGCGGGCGGCCUGCUGGGCGGGCUGAAGGGUUAGCGGAGCACGGGCAAGGCGGAGAGUGACGGAGUCGGCGAGCCCCCGCGGCGACAGGGUCUAAUUCUGUUGCCCAGUCUGGAGUGCAGUAGUGCGAUCAUAGCUCACUGCAGCCUGGAACUCCUGGGCUCAAAUGAUUCUCCUGCCUCAGUUUCCUGAGUGGCUGGGACUAUAGGCGUGCACCACCAUGUCUGGCUAAUUAAAGAAAAAUUGUAGAGACAGAGUCUUGCUGUGUUGCUCAGGCUGGUCUUGAACUCCUGGCCUCAAGUGAUCCUCCCACCUUGGCCUCCCAAAGUGUUAGGACUGCAGACAGGGUCCUACUUGUUGCUCAGGUUGAAAUGCAGUGGUGAAAUCACAGCAUGCUGCAGCCUUGACCUCCUAAGUACAAACAGUCCUCCCACCUCAGCCUCCACAGUAGCUGGGAUUACAGGUGUUUGCUGACUAGCACUUUGGAGAGUGUAUGCUUAUCUGCCAUGUCCAUAACAGAACGAACUGUGUUCCCUUUCUGAUGCAUUGGGUAGCAAUUUUCCGCCUUUGGACAGUUCAGCACAGUAAGCUUUAUCAUAGAUUAAUAUCCAUAGCUACAUAGUGAUUUUAAAUCCAGAAUAAAUCUAGGGUGAGGGAAAGAAGAAAAGUCUCUCUUAUAAAAAUGGUGAAACUGUCUCAGUGUGUCAUUACAGUUUUUAGGAAUUGUCUGUCCUUACUGUCUUUUUUAUAUAACAUUCAAUCAAGG